rnacentral:rRNA from 1 species
UGGGGAAUAUUGCACAAUGGGCGCAAGCCUGAUGCAGCCAUGCCGCGUGUGUGAAGAAGGCCUUCGGGUUGUAAAGCACUUUCAGCGAGGAGGAAGGUGGUGAACUUAAUACGUUCAUCAAUUGACGUUACUCGCAGAAGAAGCACCGGCUAACUCCGUGCCAGCAGCCGCGGUAAUACGGAGGGUGCAAGCGUUAAUCGGAAUUACUGGGCGUAAAGCGCACGCAGGCGGUUUGUUAAGUCAGAUGUGAAAAUCCCCGGGCUCAACCUGGGAACUGCAUUUGAAACUGGCAAGCUAGAGUCUCGUAGAGGGGGGUAGAAUUCCAGGUGUAGCGGUGAAAUGCGUAGAGAUCUGGAGGAAUACCGGUGGCGAAGGNGGCCCCCUGGACGAAGACUGACGCUCAGGUGCGAAAAGCGUGGGGAGCAAAACAGGAUUAGAUACCCUGGUAGUCCACGCUGUAAAACGAUGUCGAUUUGGAGGUUGUGCCCUUGAGGCGUGGCUUCCGGAGCUAACGCGUUAAAUCGACCGCCUGGGGAGUACGGCCGCAAGGUU